CAGCCGCCACGGUAAUACGAAGGGGGCUAGCGUUGUUCGGAUUUACUGGGCGUAAAGCGCACGUAGGCGGACUUUUAAGUCAGGGGUGAAAUCCCGGGGCUCAACCCCGGAACUGCCUUUGAUACUGGAAGUCUUGAGUAUGGUAGAGGUGAGUGGAAUUCCGAGUGUAGAGGUGAAAUUCGUAGAUAUUCGGAGGAACACCAGUGGCGAAGGCGGCUCACUGGACCAUUACUGACGCUGAGGUGCGAAAGCGUGGGGAGCAAACAGGAUUAGAGACCCCAGUAGUCCCUGUCUCUUAUAC
rnacentral:rRNA from 1 species